AUAAAAGCUAGGACGGUGGAAAGUAAGCCAGGGAAAACCGACAGGGAAGGCGGAGCAUGGAUUGAGACUCCACCCAGGUGGAAAGUGGCUGAAGUUCCCUCCCGAGCUGCACGGGUGAAGAGCCGAACAGUUUUGUAGCCCGAGCCGCGCUGCACGCGUUAUCAGAGCUGCCGAUGAACGUCGGCGUAAAGUGGAUUGUCUGUUUGGUUCGCAACAGACAAUCAAAGCGGGUGGUACCGCGGGAAAUUUCUCCCGUCCCAGUU
rnacentral:ncRNA from 1 species